rnacentral:rRNA from 1 species
UACGAAGGGGGCUAGCGUUGCUCGGAAUCACUGGGCGUAAAGGGUGCGUAGGCGGGUCUUUAAGUCAGGGGUGAAAUCCUGGAGCUCAACUCCAGAACUGCCUUUGAUACUGAAGAUCUUGAGUUCGGGAGAGGUGAGUGGAACUGCGAGUGUAGAGGUGAAAUUCGUAGAUAUUCGCAAGAACACCAGUGGCGAAGGCGGCUCACUGGCCCGUAACUGACGCUGAGGCACGAAAGCGUGGGGAGCGAACCGG